AAACAUAUGAUCGGACUUGACAUAAUAUUGCGAAGAAACUGAUAUACUUCUGAAUUUCAAAACAAGAGACUUGGCUACGGCCUUUAAAAACAUAUUAUCGGACUUGACAUAAUAUUGCAAGGAAACUAAAAGAAAAAAAAGCAUUAAAAACGACGAAGAAAUGGCUGUAUGGGCUUGAACCCUUUGCCUGUCCUAAUAUUGGACGAAAAAAACCAAAAAAAAAAGCAGGCAAAGAGCGCGACAAUUAAUGAAAAUUGUAAACUCAAGUAAAUAAAUCGUGCAUACCCGGUUUUAAGAGCACCUGAGUUUUUUUUUAUUUUGGAUACAAACGUAAAUAAAACAUGCCAAAUAUAAAUACAAUAAAAAAAGCAGCAGGAAUAAUUAAGAAAAGACCAUUCAGGGUAUCAAUAGAAGGCAAUAUUGGUUCUGGAAAGUCAACGUGUAUUAAAUACUUUGAUAAAUACACUAAUGUUGAAACACAUCCUGAACCUAUUCUAGAAUGGCGAAAUGUAAAUGGCCAUAACUUACUAGGACUCUUAUAUGGUGAUAUGAAUGAGUGGAGCUUUUCAUUUCAACAUUAUGUGCACUUAAGCCGGCUUAAAAUACAAACUAGUCUUCCAUCUCACAAUGAUAUAACAGUGAAAAUGUUUGAAAGAUCAGUACAGAACAGUAGACAUUGUUUUGUAGAGAAUGCGAAAAGUCAGAAAUUCUUGCUUGAUGCGGAAUAUCAAGUAUUGAUCGACUGGUUUGAUUACACAGAGAAGAAUUUGGACAUCAGUUUAGACCUCAUAGUAUACUUGAGGACAACACCAGAAGUUGUCUGGGAGAGAAUGUUAAGACGUGGAAGAGCAGAAGAAUCUGAAGUGCCAUUAGAAUACUUGAAGCAAGUACAUGUAUCAUAUGAAAACUGGCUGAAUUCUCCUACUGUUGGGUGUGAAGUAUUGACUAUUGAUGCUGAUAGAGACAUCGAAAGCGUGAAGGAAGACUUAGAAAGAUAUACAUACAAAAUAUUGGGGGGUAAUCACACAAAUUAGCGUGAUUUGAGUGACUGUGUUUGACCGAAAAAUAAUCAUUUUUUUAUUAGUUGAUAGGUAUAGAUUGAUAUAAGCACAAUUUAUUAUUAGUAUUUUGUUUUGACAUUUAGUGAAUAGCGAUAAUAAAUGAGAAUAUAAGGUAGAUUAUGGUUAUAGGUAAAGCUAAAAAUUUACUUAUACUAAGAGUUAAACACAAUUUAUAUAAGCGAAACCCACGGAAAGUAAAGUUACUCCAAGUCUAAACUUACUUCUCUCUGCCAUGUAAUUCUGUAGUGACAAAGGUGAGAUAAAGUCAAAUAGAUUUAAAUUUGUAAUUACUUUACUUCGCGUUUAUUAAUAACACAAAGUUAAUGUAUUGUAAAAAUCAUUAUAUUAUAAGAAUAAUCUUGUAACUAGUGCAAAUCAAAAUCCACUUUUUCCAAUUUUAAUCCAAGUUAUUAUUAUAGACCGUUGAAUAGAUUUCUUAUUGCUACACUACUGUUUGAAUGUGGAUUUUGGCUUCACAGCUCGCCACUGCUCACCCGGUCCUAAGUCCCAUCUAAUGCUGUCUUGACUAGGUCCGUCCAUCUCAUGUAAGUUCAACCACGUGUUCGUGGGUCCGCAAUCCUUUCGCAACGCUAGAAGAACUCCUUUCCACGUCGCGAAAUUGCCCAGUGUUUACAGUAGACUGUAGAAUCUUGAUGUCAAGUUAUUGCAGAAGGGAGAAUUUGUUACGGUUUUUUUAUGUAUAUAAGAGGGGGCAAAUGGGCAAGAGACUCAUGUAAUGGGAAGUGCUGAGGCAAGCCCAUGGACAUCCGGAACACGAGGGUACAAGAGAUGUUGACGGCUUUAUAGUUGGGAUGCUCUAUGCUUGAAGGUCCCUGAGUCGUCCCUGUAUCAGUUCAGGAAAACUGCACUCUGUAAUUGAUUCCACAAAGUGGCUGUGUGACGCAAGAGGUUCCUCGCAACGCACCCAAGCGUUGUUCUCAGACACUCAUCCACGGUCCAAGUAGCAAACAAAAAUAUCCAACAUUUUUAGUCAGGAUUUUGAUGGCUUUAAUAGUUUCGAUUUCUCCAAAUUUGCUUAGUUUGUCCAAGGCAGAUUUGGACAUAAUAUAAUUAAUUUACCAUAAGCUUAAUUUAAUCUCAUCGGCGCAUCCCCCUCUGUUGGUUAUCUGCGCUCUAAGAUCAUCAAACGUGGUAACAACUGUUGGCAGUAUUUAUGAGUUGCCAAUAUCAGGAUUGACAGUCAAAAUUUUAGUUUAGUCCGAUUGAUCUUAAACAAAGGAUGGAUCCCAACACCAGUUUUAAUUAUGUCCAAAAUAUCGUGAAUCUCAUUUACAAUUGUGAAAUCUUUUUGAUUUAAAACAAUAUCAGAAUUGAUCUUUGACGGUGGAAACAUUUAAUUUAAAAGCGUUUUAGAAUGUACUACUCCACCUUGUUUUUGCACACAGAAUUACAGAUUCUUUUUUUAAAUUCAAUAAGGUAGUUUUUGUAGGUGAUUUAUGAUUACCUUACUACGUUUCGAACCUUUGCUAGUAAAUCGUAAUAUUUUUAAUAAGAUAAAUGCCGUCACACUUAUUCUUAAUUGAAAACCAUAAACCGCCUGUAUCAGAUUAUUCUGCAGAUUCGCGAAUUUUAUCAGCUUGCCGUAAUAACAGGGCCAAACCAGCUAACAGUAUCUUGCCCUCCUGCAAGCUUUGUUCAACGAUUUUAUAAUCUUCAUCCAUAAUAGUUAUAACUUUCUUGUAAAACCCAGCAAUAUCUAUUUGUAAGAAAAUUUCGUAUGUCUCCAGUUUUUAUUUAACUGUUUAAAUGCGUAUUUUUGCUGGCAAUAAUUAAUCCGUAAACUCGAAUGAGUCUUCAAAUUUUAAAUUUGCUGGGUUCACUUAGUAAUGGUGAGUUUAAAUUAAAUUUAACUAAACCUGCUAAAGUUUCUGUUUGAGAUACGCUCAUCGAAUGAAAUAGCAAAAUAUAUUACUUUUUCAAAUAGAACCUUCUGAAAUCCUUUUGUUCAUCGCAUCGAUUAACAAUUACUACAAACUGUGUUAGCAGACUUACAUUUCCUAAAACCUCUCUAAUAUCUUCGGCCUUUAUUAGCGUCGAAAAAGUUGAAGAUGAUUAGAUAUUAACUAGGUUUGGGGUCAGAGGUAUUGAUAUCACUCCAAAACCAUGUAGGAAUUUUAUUACAAUUAGCUUGUAACUCCAUGUAAAUAAUUAACAAGUAAUUUUUUUUUUUUUAAUUAUUUGCUCUGAGUUUAAAGAAUUGAUAAUAAAGUAUUUGUAUUAGGAUUACUUUUAAACUUGGCCUAGCUACUAUUGCGUUCUAUGUACCUACGGGUAUUUUUUUUAAUGUAUCAUGACCAAAACCCUGGCUGUUGUGAUAAAAUGUAAUCACAUAUACUUCGAAUUCACAAUAUCUCAACCAAUCUAGCUCAUAAAAUUAUUAAUUUAUUUUGAUUUUUAUGAUGUAAGUACUUACCUAAUUAGAAUAUUUAUAGUGCUUUUACAAUUAAUGCGUUCAAAAUAAUAAUAUAUAUUAUGAAUGAAA